rnacentral:lncRNA from 1 species
UCAAUAUAUUGUAUUUUUUAAAUAAAUUUUUCAAAAAUUCUAUUUUAGGAAAGUUUUCAUUUUUGUAGAGAAAUAUUGUACAUUUGGGAUUGUGGUUUAGAGAUUAGGACAACAAGAAUUUUUGUUGAUAGAAGAGUAUUUUGUUUGAUUUUUUUAUCAAUAUAUUGUAUUUUUUAAAUAAAAUUUUCCAAAAUUCUAUUUUAGGAAAGUUUUCAUUUUUGUAGAGAAAUAUUGUACAUUUGGGAUUUUGGUUUAGAGAUUAGGACAACAAGAAUUUUUGUUGAUAGAAGAGUAUUUUGUUUGAUUUUUUUAUCAAUAUAUUGUAUUUUUUAAAUAAAAUUUUCAAAAAUUCUAUUUUAGGAAAGUUUUCAUUUUUAUAGAUAAAUAUUGUAGAUUUGGGGUUGUGAUUUAUAAACUAGGAUAAGAAAAACUUUUGUUGAUAGAAGAGUAUUCUUAUAGAUUUUUUUAUCAAUAUGUUGUAUUUUAAAAAUAAAAUUCUCAAAAAUUCUAUUUUAGGAAAGUUUUCAUUUUUG